GGGACCGCGGAGGGAUCAUUACAGAGUUAUCCAACUCCCAAACCCAUGUGAACAUAUCUCUUUGUUGCCUCGGCGCAAGCUACCCGGGACCUCGCGCCCCGGGCGGCCCGCCGGCGGACAAACCAAACUCUGUUAUCUUCGUUGAUUAUCUGAGUGUCUUAUUUAAUAAGUCAAAACUUUCAACAACGGAUCUCUUGGUUCUGGCAUCGAUGAAGAACGCAGCGAAAUGCGAUAAGUAAUGUGAAUUGCAGAAUUCAGUGAAUCAUCGAAUCUUUGAACGCACAUUGCGCCCAUUAGUAUUCUAGUGGGCAUGCCUGUUCGAGCGUCAUUUCAACCCCUAAGCACAGCUUAUUGUUGGGCGUCUACGUCUGUAGUGCCUCAAAGACAUUGGCGGAGCGGCAGCAGUCCUCUGAGCGUAGUAAUUCUUUAUCUCGCUUCUGUUAGGCGCUGCCCCCCCGGCCGUAAAACCCCCAAUUUUUUCUGGUUGACCUCGGAUCAGGUAGGAAUACCCGCUGAACUUAAGCAUAUCA
rnacentral:rRNA from 1 species